AGUAGACACCUAAAUAUACUUGCCCUACUCCUGUAUAUAAUUAUUGCCAAUGCAAACUGGGUAUUCGCAAAGUCUUAGUAAAUGUUGCAAAACUCGAUGAAUACAGUGAACUUUUCAACUUUGUAAAACAUGCGAUUACUAGUAAUAUUACUUCACAUUACUUAUUUACUGGCAUCAUAUGAACCACCGGCACCUUUAGUUCACACUUCGUUGGGAAGUAUUAGGGGAUACCACAAGUAUUCGCUGGAGGGACGAAGAUUUUCCGCAUUUGAAGGUAUUCCAUAUGGACAGCCGCCCGUUGGAGAUUUUAGAUUUGAGGCACCUAGAAAUGUACUUCCUUGGAAUACGACAUUGGAUGCUCGUACUUUAUUUGUAUGCUCGCAAGUAAAGAAUUCGUUUUUUGCAGAUAAACCUGAUCAAGAAGACUGUUUAUAUCUCAACGUGUACGUCCCCAAAGAGCAACCAUCCGAAAAUGACAACUUUGACGUUGUUGUUAAGAUACAUGGAGGUGCAUUUACGUAUGGGGAUGGUAGCGUGGCUUCACCUGGUUUCAUUAUGGAUCGUGAUCUAGUAUACGUUAACUUUAACUAUAGGCUUGGUCCUUUAGGAUUUUUAAGUACUGGAGAUAAUAUCGUACCAGGAAACAAUGGGCUUAAAGAUCAACAGCUUGCACUUCAAUGGGUUCAAACACAUAUCAAACGAUUUGGAGGCAAUCCUAAUUCGGUUACUCUUAUGGGUCAAUCGGCGGGUAGUGCUUCAGUUCAUUUUCACUAUUUUUCACCAAAAUCUAGAGGUUUAUUCCACAGAGGGUUAUCACAAAGUGGCACUGUGCUAAUGCCUUGGGCGAUUCAAGCGGGUGCUUUGAAAGAGACGCAAAAACUAGCUGCGUCGUUGAAUUGCGAAAAUUCAGAUACACGAAUGAUGAUCUCCUGUUUGAAACAUAUUCCGGUUCACCACCUUCUUUUAAAAGCCAAAGAGCUUUUCCGUUUUAAUAUUUUUCCUUUAACUCCGUUUGCACCUGUAGUUGAGGUCGAGUCAGACUCUGCCUUUAUGACAAAACACCCUUAUCUACAAUUGUCAAGUGGAGAAGUAUACGAUAUUCCGUGGUUAGCGUGGAGAGCGUCCGAUGAAGGAAUCUUUCUUGGUGUCUUAGCACCUCCCGCACCUUAUGACGAAAUUGAAAAGCAUUGGGAUGAAUGGUCUCCGUGGAUAUUCAACUACGAAUUCACUGUGGCUGAAAGCCAGAAAACUGCAGUGGCUCAUAAAAUUAAAUCAUACUACUUCCCAAAUGAGAAAGUCUCCCAUAAGAAUGUUAAGAAAUUCGUUGACCUUAUGGGCGAUCGGUAUUUUAAUGUGGGAUUUGAACAAGCAAUAACAAUGCAAGCCAACCUUGGAAAAUCGCCAGUAUACGCCGGCAUAUACUGCUUCAAUAAGACAAAUGGUUUGGCCAAAGGCAGUGGUGUAGAUGGGGUGACACACGGGGAUGAUAACUUAUUAUUACACGAUGAUAAACCUAUACGAGAUAUUAGACUGUCAACACCAGAAACAGACAUGAAGAACUUGCUGUUGGAUAUACUUGCAUCGUAUGCGAAAAAGGGUAAACCGGAGGCGACUGGGAUAAAUUGGGAACCAGUGACCCCAGGGAAGUUUAAUUAUUUACUGAUGUGUGACGCUCACGAUUCCAAUAUGGUGGAAAAAGUCGAAUUUGGAACCAAACAGUUUUGGGAAAGUUUGGACAUUAAGGAAAAUGGUAACACACAACGAGAUGAACUCUAAUAGAACUUUGCUACUACUACUAAUACCGCAUAAUUCGGGUGUGAAGUUUCCCAAAAUUACUGAUCUACGUAUGCGUUGUGCUAAACUUUCCUCUGUAAUUGUACAUUUGUGAAUAUGGUAUUUUGAUUCAUUCAUUUUUCCCUUACUGACCUUACUAUCAUACAUAAACCAUGAGGCAUGUUUUAUAAUGGAGGAUCAUUAAGUUGAAGAGGCUGGAAUUAAAGACAGGUCCAGCUUUUCCGCCAAGUCCGAAAAAAAAUUCUGGUGUCAACCGCUACGAACUGAAUUUAAGUCUAUCGUUUGUUACACUUUAUUUUUCCGUUAUGCUGUUGCAAU